GAUGAAGAACGUAGCAAAAUGCGAUAAGUAAUGCGAAUUGCAGAAUCCGUGAGUCAUCGAAUCUUUGAACGCACAUUGCGCCCUUUGGUAUUCCGAAGGGCAUGCCUGUUCGAGCGUCAUUAUCACCACUCAAGCCCGGCUUGCUGUUGGUGGCAGCGCAGCCGGUCAACCGGCUACGCUCCACCCAAAGAUAAUGACGGCGUCUGCGAGGACUCCUGUACAUUGAGCUUUCGGGCACGUACAUGGCUAGAAGUCCAGGCGCCGGUCGACGUCCUCCGGGACACUUUUUACCAAGGUUGACCUCGGAUCAGGUAGGGAUACCCGCUGAACUUAAGCAUAUCAAUAAGCGGAGGA
rnacentral:misc_RNA from 1 species